GAUGAAGAACGCAGCGAAACGCGAUAUGUAAUGUGAAUUGCAGAAUUCAGUGAAUCAUCGAAUCUUUGAACGCACAUGGCGCCUUCCAGUAUCCUGGGAGGCAUGCCUGUCCGAGCGUCGUUUCAACCCUCAAGCCCCCGUGGCCCGGCGUUGGGGAUCUGCCCAGGCAGUCCCCGAAAACCAGUGGCGGACCCGUUACAGGCCCUUCCCUUGCGUAGUAGCAUUCGCCUCGCAUCGGGAGCCGGCGGGCUUCCAGCCUCUAAACCCCCAUCAAGUCCGCCCCGGCGGCACCAAGGUUGACCUCGGAUCAGGUAGGAAUACCCGCUGAACUUAAGCAUAUCAAUAAGCGGAGGA
rnacentral:misc_RNA from 1 species